UACGUAGGGACCGAGCGUUGUCCGGAAUCAUUGGGCGUAAAGAGCGUGUAGGCGGCCCCUUAAGUCCUGCGUGAAAUCCUGCGGCUCAACCGCAGACGGUCGUGGGAAACUGGAGGGCUAGAGUGCGGGAGAGGAGAGUGGAAUUCCCGGUGUAGCGGUGAAAUGCGCAGAUAUCGGGAAGAACACCCGUGGCGAAGGCGGCUCUCUGGAGCGCAACUGACGCUGAGACGCGAAAGCGUGGGGAGCAAACAGG
rnacentral:rRNA from 1 species